UUCGGGGUGGAUUAGUGGCGAACGGGUGAGUAACACGUGGGCAAUCUGCCCUUCACUCUGGGACAAGCCCUGGAAACGGGGUCUAAUACCGGAUAACACUCUGUCCCGCAUGGGACGGGGUUAAAAGCUCCGGCGGUGAAGGAUGAGCCCGCGGCCUAUCAGCUUGUUGGUGGGGUAAUGGCCUACCAAGGCGACGACGGGUAGCCGGCCUGAGAGGGCGACCGGCCACACUGGGACUGAGACACGGCCCAGACUCCUACGGGAGGCAGCAGUGGGGAAUAUUGCACAAUGGGCGAAAGCCUGAUGCAGCGACGCCGCGUGAGGGAUGACGGCCUUCGGGUUGUAAACCUCUUUCAGCAGGGAAGAAGCGAAAGUGACGGUACCUGCAGAAGAAGCGCCGGCUAACUACGUGCCAGCAGCCGCGGUAAUACGUAGGGCGCAAGCGUUGUCCGGAAUUAUUGGGCGUAAAGAGCUCGUAGGCGGCUUGUCACGUCGGAUGUGAAAGCCCGGGGCUUAACCCCGGGUCUGCAUUCGAUACGGGCUAGCUAGAGUGUGGUAGGGGAGAUCGGAAUUCCUGGUGUAGCGGUGAAAUGCGCAGAUAUCAGGAGGAACACCGGUGGCGAAGGCGGAUCUCUGGGCCAUUACUGACGCUGAGGAGCGAAAGCGUGGGGAGCGAACAGGAUUAGAUACCCUGGUAGUCCACGCCGUAAACGUUGGGAACUAGGUGUUGGCGACAUUCC
rnacentral:rRNA from 1 species